AUGGUUCGUACCAAUGUCAAUCCUAUUUGGGGAAAGAUUUGGAAAUUAUCGUGUCCGACAAAGGUAAAAAUAUUUAUCUGGCGAACGUUGCAUGGAACUCUACCGUGUCGUGUUACACUUGCCAAUAGACAUAUGAAAGUUUCGCCCCUUUGUCCAUCAUGCUCAAAUGGGCAAGAAGAUACAAAACACAUCUUGUUUUUGUAUGAGAAGGCAAAAGAGGUUUGGGUAAGCUGGGGAUGUGAGGUAAUUAAGAAAGCUUGUGUUAUUGAUCGUGCGGGUGAGGCGGUUCUUGAAUUCUUACUUCUUAUGCUGCACCAAGAACUAUCUAUAUUAGGAUGCCAGAAUGCAAGUGAAUUAAUCGCGAUAACCGCUUGGUAUUUAUGGUGGGAGAGACGCAUGUUGGUUCAUGAAGGAAAGUCUCAAGAUGUGAACCAGAUUUCGAUGGGGGUUCGUGCUAUAACGGCAAACUAUGUGAAUGCCCACUCCCCUAGUGGGUCUAGUAGAAAAGAAGGAUGGAGCCGACCUCCUAUGGGUUUUAUUAAACUAAAUGUUGAUGCUUCUUUUGACCAUGAUCUGUUCAGGGGCACGGUAGGUGCUGUACUCAGAGAUGACAAAGGAAAAUUCAUUGUUGGCGAAAAUAGGAAGAUCGAUUGGUGUGCUGAUGUACUAACAGCAGAAGCGAUGGCUCUGAGGUUUGGUUUAAUUCUUGCACAAAAGGCGGGAUGCAAUCGUCUUAUUAUUAACUCUGAUAAUAUGAAAGUCAUUGACACAAUGAAAAAUGGAGGACAAUCGGCGGGAGUUGCGGCGGCAGUAUUCGAGGAUUGCUACUUCAUGGCAUGUGAUUUUCCGUUGACUAGAUUUGAACAUUGUAAUAGGAUAGCUAAUAAGGUUGCUCAUGAACUUGCUAGGCUAGCGAAAGUUUCUGUAACUAGAGAUUGGUUUGAGGAGCCUGUGGAGAAUAUUGUACCUCUUUUUAUAGACGAUGUAACCAUUAUUUCCAACCAAUAA
rnacentral:rRNA from 1 species